rnacentral:rRNA from 1 species
CCUACGGGAGACAGCAGUGAGGAAUAUUGGUCAAUGGGCGCUAGCCUGAACCAGCCACGUAGCGUGAAGGAUGACUGCCCUCUGGGUUGUAAACUUCUUUUAUAUGGGAAUAAAGUGCAGUUUGUAUACUGCUUUGCAUCUACUUUAUGCAUACGGAUCGCCUAACUACGAGCCAGCAGCCGCGGUAAUACGGAGGAUCCGAGCGUUAUCCGGAUUUAUUGGGGUGAAUGGGUGCGUAGGCGGGUUGUUAAGUCAGUUGUGAAAGUUUGCGGCUCAACCGUAAAAUUGCAGUUGAUACUGUCAUCCUUGAGUACAGUAGAGGUAGGCGGAAUUCGUGGUGUAGCGGUGAAAUGCGUAGAUAUCACGAAGAACUCCGAUUGCGAAGGCAGCCUGCUGGACUGUAACUGACGCUGAUGCUCGAAAGUGUGGGUAUCAAACAGGAUUAGAUACCCCAGUAGUC